rnacentral:rRNA from 1 species
GGGAGGUAGUAAUCAGCUUGCGUUGAUUACGUCCCUGCCCUUUGUACACACCGCCCGUCGCUACUACCGAUUGAAUGGCUCAGUGAGGCGUCCGGACUGGCCCAGAGAGGUGGGCAACUACCACUCAGGGCCGGAAAGCUCUCCAAACUCGGUCAUUUAGAGGAAGUAAAAGUCGUAACAAGGUCUCCGUUGGUGAACCAGCGGAGGGAUCAUUAC